rnacentral:rRNA from 1 species
UACGGGGGGAGCAAGCGUUGUUCGGAUUUACUGGGCGUAAAGGGUGCGUAGGCGGGUCUUUAAGUCAGGGGUGAAAUCCUGGAGCUCAACUCCAGAACUGCCUUUGAUAUUGAGGAUCUUGAGUUCGGGAGAGGUGAGUGGAACUGCGAGUGUAGAGGUGAAAUUCGUAGAUAUUCGCAAGAACACCAGUGGCGAAGGCGGCUCACUGGCCCGAUACUGACGCUGAGGCACGAAAGCGUGGGGAGCAAACAGG